rnacentral:rRNA from 1 species
AGGACGAACGCUGGCGGCGUGCUUAACACAUGCAAGUCGAACGGUGAAGCCCCUUCGGGGGUGGAUCAGUGGCGAACGGGUGAGUAACACGUGAGCAACCUGCCCUUGACUCUGGGAUAACUCCGGGAAACCGGAGCUAAUACCGGAUACGACACGCGAAGGCAUCUUCUGCGUGUGGAAAGAUUUAUCGGUCAAGGAUGGGCUCGCGGCCUAUCAGCUUGUUGGUGGGUAAUGGCCUACCAAGGCGACGACGGGUA